rnacentral:rRNA from 1 species
UACGGAGGGGGGCUAGCGUUGUUCGGAAUUACUGGGCGUAAAGCGCACGUAGGCGGACUGUUAAGUCGGGGGUGAAAUCCUGGGGCUCAACCUCAGAAUUGCCUCCGAUACUGGCAGUCUCGAGUGCGGGAGAGGUGAGUGGAAUUCCCAGUGUAGAGGUGAAAUUCGUAGAUAUUGGGAAGAACACCAGUGGCGAAGGCGGCUCACUGGCCCGUAACUGACGCUGAGGUGCGAAAGCGUGGGGAGCAAACAGG